rnacentral:rRNA from 1 species
GACGAACGCUGGCGGCGUGCCUAAUACAUGCAAGUCGAGCGGACGCAUGGGAGCUUGUUCCCAGAAGGUCCGCGGGGGAGGAGAGUGCAACACGUGGGCAACGUGCCUGUAAGACUAGGAUACCUCAGCUAAACUGGGGCUACAACCGGUCUACUCUUUCCAUCACAUGAGGGCAAGCUGAAAGAUGGCAUCUCGCUAUCACUUCCAAAUGGGUACGUGGCGCAUUAGCUACUUGCUGAGGUAACGGCUUACCAAGGCGACGAUCCGUAGCCGAGCUGAGAGGUUGAUCAGCCACACGGGGACUGAGACACGGCCCAGACUCCUACGGGAGGCAGCAGUAGGGAAUAUUCCGCAAUGGACGAAAGUCUGACCCAGCGACGCCGCGUGAGGGAUGAAGGAUUUCGGGUCGUAAAUUUCUGUUGUCAGGAAAGAACAGGCUGCUGAUAAACCGCCGGUGCCUUGACGGUACCGGAACAAUAAGCCCCGGCUAACUACGUG